rnacentral:rRNA from 1 species
GACGAACGCUGGCGGCGUGCUUAACACAUGCAAGUCGAGCGGUAAGGCCCUUUCGGGGGUACACGAGCGGCGAACGGGUGAGUAACACGUGGGUGACCUGCCCUCAGCUCUGGGAUAAGCCUGGGAAACUGGGUCUAAUACCGGAUAUGACUCCAUGACGCAUGUUGUGGGGUGGAAAGCCUUGUGCGGCUGAGGAUGGGCCCGCGGCCUAUCAGCUCGUUGGUGGGGUGACGGCCUACCAAGGCGACGACGGGUAGCCGGCCUGAGAGGGCGACCGGCCACACUGGGACUGAGACACGGCCCAGACUCCUACGGGAGGCAGCAGUGGGGAAUCUUGCGCAAUGGGCGAAAGCCUGACGCAGCGACGCCGCGUGAGGGAUGACGGCCU